rnacentral:rRNA from 1 species
GACGAACGCUGGCGGCGUGCUUAACACAUGCAAGUCGAGCGGUAAGGCCCUUUCGGGGGUACACGAGCGGCGAACGGGUGAGUAACACGUGGGUGACCUGCCCUCAGCUCUGGGAUAAGCCUGGGAAACCGGGUCUAAUACUGGAUAUGACUCCAUGACGCAUGUUGUGGGGUGGAAAGCCUUGUGCGGCUGAGGAUGGGCCCGCGGCCUAUCAGCUUGUUGGUGGGGUGAUGGCCUACCAAGGCGACGACGGGUAGCCGGCCUGAGAGGGCGACCGGCCACACUGGGACUGAGACACGGCCCAGACUCCUACGGGAGGCAGCAGUGGGGAAUCUUGCGCAAUGGGCGAAAGCCUGACGCAGCGACGCCGCGUGGGGAUGACGGCCUC